AUCAUUUCUUGACCUUUUGGCUAAGAUCAAGUGUAAUAUCUGUUCUUAUCAGUUUAAUAUUUGAUACCUCCUAUAUGUGAAGACAAUAAACUAAAUGGAUUUUUGGAUAUAGAAGAUGGAAUAGGAGCUUUCUCUGUCCACUCCACACAUCAAGCUGGUACAGCAGUACCUCCAGGAACAAUGCACACACA